rnacentral:rRNA from 1 species
GAUGAACGCUGGCGGCGUGCCUAAUACAUGCAAGCCGAGCGAACGGACGAGAAGCUUGCUUUUCUGAUGUUAGCGGCGGACGGGUGAGUAACACGUGGAUAACCUACCUAUAAGACUGGGAUAACUUCGGGAAACCGGAGCUAAUACCGGAUAAUAUUUUGAACCGCAUGGUUCAAAAGUGAAAGACGGUCUUGCUGUCACUUAUAGAUGGAUCCGCGCUGCAUUAGCUAGUUGGUAAGGUAACGGCUUACCAAGGCAACGAUGCAUAGCCGACCUGAGAGGGUGAUCGGCCACACUGGAACUGAGACACGGUCCAGACUCCUACGGGAGGCAGCCGUAGGGAAUCUUCCGCAAUGGGCGAAAGCCUGACGGAGCAACGCCGCGUGAGUGAUGAAGGUCUUCGGAUCGUAAAACUCUGUUAUUAGGGAAGAACAUAUGUGUAAGUAACUGUGCACAUCUUGACGGUACCUAAUCAGAAAGCCACGGCUAACUACGUG